CCCUGAUCCAGCAAUACCGCGUGUGUGAAGAAGGCCUUCGGGUUGUAAAGCACUUUUAGCAGGAAAGAAAGCCUGUACGCUAAUACCGUAUGGUUUUGACGUUACCUGCAGAAAAAGCACCGGCUAACUCCGUGCCAGCAGCCGCGGUAAUA
rnacentral:rRNA from 1 species